AGCAUCAAAUGAGGCGGGCUGGAUCUCUCGGGGUUACAGCCUUGCUGAAUUAUUCACCCUUGUCUUUUGCGUACUUCUUGUUUCCUUGGUGGGUUCGCCCACCACUAGGACAAACAUAAACCUUUUGUAAUUGCAAUCAGCGUCAGUAACAAAUUAAUAAUUACAACUUUCAACAACGGAUCUCUUGGUUCUGGCAUCGAUGAAGAACGCAGCGAAAUGCGAUAAGUAGUGUGAAUUGCAGAAUUCAGUGAAUCAUCGAAUCUUUGAACGCACAUUGCGCCCUUUGGUAUUCCAAAGGGCAUGCCUGUUCGAGCGUCAUUUGUACCCUCAAGCUUUGCUUGGUGUUGGGCGUCUUGUCUCUAGCUUUGCUGGAGACUCGCCUUAAAGUAAUUGGCAGCCGGCCUACUGGUUUCGGAGCGCAGCACAAGUCGCACUCUCUAUCAGCAAAGGUCUAGCAUCCAUUAAGCCUUUUUUCAACUUUGACCUCGGAUCAGGUAGGAUCCCCGGCCCAU
rnacentral:rRNA from 1 species